rnacentral:lncRNA from 1 species
AUGGGCUGCACACAGCAGGAGCCCAGUGGAGAGGCCCACGACGCAGGGACGCCCGGAACCCUAGAGCAGCAUCCAGCGGCUGCAAGGACUCAUCCCGACAGCGCCCAGGGACAGGGGUGUCCGGCCGCGGGCGGGAGUGGCGGCGCUGCAGCCCUGCCGUCCUCCGCGGGGGCUCCAGUUCCUCCCAAGUCCUGCAUCUCCCCAACUCCCAAUUCCCAAUUUCCGGGGGGGUGGGGUGGUGCAGAGCCCACCCACUUCUCAGCCUCCAGCGAACUCUGGUUCCUCCUGCAGCCAGCGCCUCGCCCUGUGCGGGGCUCGGGUGUGCGUGCGCGUGACGGCGUGUCUGUGAGGCUGUGCGUGGGUCUGGCCUGCGCACUGAAGGUUCAGACACCCCCGGGGAAGGUUCUGGCUCCUCGUGUUUCUCACGGGGCGGGCCAGGAGGGGGCACGGCCUCUGGGCCCUGCAGGCUUGUCACUCACCUCUGGGCUGGGCGCCCUCCUUUUUUCUCCACAAUUCCUGGGGGUCGAAGCGCUUAAAAUCCCCAAAGCGUUUCCAAAGCUCAGGGAUGGAAGGUCCCGAGAGGCGGACCCAAGUCCACCAGGGCGCCAGGAGGGGGCAGCCCCGAGGACCAGGAGGGGAUGUUGGCCAAAGGCUGGGACAUGUGAGAGUGUGGAGGACAUGUUCCCAAGGGGGCCCCCAGAUGCAGCACCUCCUCCUGGGCUCCGCUGCCCUUCCUCACGGACGCCAACCCGCCCAGCACACCUUGGAGGCCGCACUGCCCCACCCUGGGGUCCGGAAGAGCCGUCGCUCUGGGCCGGGGGCUAUGCACAGUGGUCUGGAGGAGAUGGGGGGACCAGCUCUCCCCUGACCCCCAUGGUGGUCCCCUCGGGAGGCCUAAGGCUUUGCUCUGGCCGUCACACCCUCGUUGGGGGACCACAGGUUCUGGAUCAUCCUGCAGGCCACGCACCCAGCGCUCUGGGCCCCGGAGACCUGGCUCAGCCGGCAGCUGGCAGGUGA